AGCGUAAUGCAAUGCCGCCGCAUACGUAAUGACAAACCCUGCUUUUUAAAUAUUGAAUUAAUAAACAAACGUUAUGAUUCAAUCUCGAAAUGAAGGAUCAUGUAUUUAUUAAAUGUACAUCAUCCCUGUUAUUACUGAAUAUUGAGUAUUGAAAUUUUUUCUACGGAACAAGGACUAGCACGAUUAAAAUAAAGAAUGAAUUCUGACAGAAGUUUUAUUGAAUCUGUAACAGAUAAUCCUGCUGCACAUUAUGAAGUCUUUUUUGAGUGUUCCAUCUACAUCUGCAAUAAUUGUUACAUCUUCAGCUGCUACAAGUGUUCCUAAGUAUUAUAUUUACGUAACCAUUACUUGUUUGUAGAAGAAUUAUUGGUUCAAAAAAAAGUGGAGCAAUGUUUGCGGAUGAAGUGAAAAAAGAUUGAUCUUACAUAUGGUGCCUAUAGACGGCUCUGGCUUACCUUCACCUGGUGUCUAUUGUUAAAAAUGAAUUAUUUAGUUUCAUCAUUGGAAUUUUAAGUAAUAUCAUUUACUAAAAGCCAAGACAUAAAUUUAUAUAUUUUGUAUUUUAAAACUUUUUAAAAUAUAAAUUUUAAAACUUUGGUUAGUUUUUAGAGUGGAUACUCAAACUUGCAUCUUGUAAUGGGGUAAGAUUAGUAAAGUUAUGUCUCUCUUUUUACACAAUUUAAAGACAUUUUUGAAAUUUUUAUUGACAUUUUUUUAAAGUUUAAAUAAGAAGAGGAGGGGGGGGGCGUUGGGUGUGGCAUACACCCCUCCCUUUACUAACAUGGUAAAAUAAUCUUGAAUACUAAUUUCUCUUUUUAAAUAAACUCAGUUUAAAACCAUUUUUCAAAUAUCUUUUAACUUUUUUUUUUAGGUUGGAGAAGACUGAGAGGAAGGGGAGGGGCGUUAAGGGUGGCAUCGUCCCGCCCCUAAUUUCAAUUUAUGCACCACUUGUAUAUGCUGUUAUGUGAAAAAAUAUAGUUUAAUCUUUUUAACACAAAAUAUUAUGUGUUAAAAAGUUGUUUUUUAGGUUCAAAUAUUUAUAAGAUGGUAACAUUUCACUACGAGGGUGUUAAAACGUAACAAAGACAUCCACCCUUUAAUCUAAAAUAUACCACUAAUAUUUGGAAAUGUAAUGGAAGCAAAUUAGAACAACUUUUUGUGUAUAAAGGUAACAAAUUUUAUCAGAGAAAUACUCUUUCGUGUGAAAAACUUGUAUUUUUUUAAGGUUUUGAUGGUGUUCCGAUACCCCCUCUGGCCCUCUAGACACCCCUUUUAUCUAGAAAACCAUAUGAACUUGUAGCCUACUAUUACAUCUAUCUUUUGAUACCAAGGUAUAAGCAUUUGGAUAAGAUUUGAUAAAGUUAUAACAAUUUCAGUGAAAAAUAAAUAAAUUUUGGAACCAGUUUCUUCAAGAAAUCCAUAUAUCGAAAAUUUGCUUCUAAAAACGUCAUAACUUUUUUUUAAAUUGUUCGUUUUUAAUAAUUUUUUCACCAUUAAAAUACUUUAUUGAAGGGCUUUCUAAUGAUAUAUAACAUUCUAGUAUAAGCUCAAUUAAAAAAAAUCACGUACCUACAAAUAUAUAAUAAGAAUAUUAUUACCUAAGAAUCUUACUGUAAGAAUAAAAUGUUGUUUUCUUUAUAUAGAAGUAAGAUAUUGUGUUGGAAGAUCAAAGAAAGAAGCUUUUUAAGAACAAAUUACGUGACACAACACAAAUAUUAAGAAAAAUAGAUAUCUACAAAUGUGAAAUAAAGUGGUUAUUUGAUAUUGGUGUGAAUACACCAACAUAAAAGCAAAAUAUUUUAUCAAACAAGCAAAUGAUUAAAAAGGAAAAAAACAUUGAUAUAAAUUUGUUGAUUGAUCAACAAGGACGUAAAACUGGGAUGGGUAGAAUAGACUAGAAGUACUUACUUGUAGCUCGUAGAAAGCAAAAGGAGAUCGAAUCUACCAAUAAGAGAAUGACUACUUCAAAAAGUAAAUAAUUGGCUUCUAAAUUUAUUACCAAUUUAAAUUUAAAUUAGGUUAGCAAUUGCAGAGUAGAAUCAAGUUAGAAAGAGAAUAAUCAAGAUUUUUAAUAUCAAAAGUAAAGUAAACCAAGAUCUUAUAAAAGAAAACCAUAUUUUGUUGAAGUUAUCCUACCUAGGAAAAUCUUAAAGGCCACUGCUGUUACAGCAAAGAGAUACGGUAUUCAGAGCUCAGCACAUAUUGCUACAUUGGCUAAUAUCAUAAACUCAGCAGGUGGAAAUCUAAAAGACUUUGGUAUUUCUGUUACAUCUGCAAAUGUUCAUUCAAGUUAUGUGAUUAGUUAUAAUAGUUUAAACUAAAGAAUAUUAUAUUGAAAUAGCCAAGGGAAAACUGCUUUGUUUUCAUUUUUAUACAAAAAUAAUAAAACAGUAUUUUUAUGGUGCAAAUAUAAUUGUUGAGCGCUUCGCACUAGUGAUUUUAAGUCCUAAUAUCAAUAAAAAACAGUUUAUUGGAAACUUCUUAUCCAGAUUUUUAUUAGCGAAGAACAAUGCAGUUAAAAAAUAACACCCUCCAAAUUAUACAUUUAAAACUGCUAUAGGGGAAAUUGGCAUAUACAGUGAAAUCCAGUUAAGUUGAACUCUAAAAUGGAAUAGAUAAAAUUGUAUGAAUUAGAGAAUGUCCUACUUAAGCAAAGCUCUUGGUUUGUAUAGAAAGUCCAAGGGAGAAUUUGAAAUCUGACUGACUUAUUCAGUGUUAACGCUAUUCUACUGUAACUAUAUCACUGAGUCUAUAUUGCAAAUUUUAUUUUUUUAGUUUUGAUUUGUAUAAAAAUUAAAUAUUGCAGAACUCGUUAUCUAUAAGGCAGUUGAGAGGGUGUUCUCUAUAUUUCUAGAGAAUUUAAUAAAGUCAUUUAUCAAAAAAACUGAUAUUUUGAUUUGAUAUCUGU